UUGAACGCUGGCGGCAGGCCUAACACAUGCAAGUCGAACGGUAACAGGAAGCAGCUUGCUGCUUUGCUGACGAGUGGCGGACGGGUGAGUAAUGUCUGGGAAACUGCCUGAUGGAGGGGGAUAACUACUGGAAACGGUAGCUAAUACCGCAUAACGUCGCAAGACCAAAGAGGGGGACCUUCGGGCCUCUUGCCAUCGGAUGUGCCCAGAUGGGAUUAGCUUGUUGGUGGGGUAACGGCUCACCAAGGCGACGAUCCCUAGCUGGUCUGAGAGGAUGACCAGCCACACUGGAACUGAGACACGGUCCAGACUCCUACGGGAGGCAGCAGUGGGGAAUAUUGCACAAUGGGCGCAAGCCUGAUGCAGCCAUGCCGCGUGUAUGAAGAAGGCCUUCGGGUUGUAAAGUACUUUCAGCGGGGAGGAAGGGAGUAAAGUUAAUACCUUUACUCAUUGACGUUACCCGCAGAAGAAGCACCGGCUAACUCCGUGCCAGCAGCCGCGGUAAUACGGAGGGUGCAAGCGUUAAUCGGAAUUACUGGGCGUAAAGCGCACGCAGGCGGUUUGUUAAGUCAGAUGUGAAAUCCCCGGGCUCAACCUGGGAACUGCAUCUGAUACUGGCAAGCUUGAGUCUCGUAGAGGGGGGUAGAAUUCCAGGUGUAGCGGUGAAAUGCGUAGAGAUCUGGAGGAAUACCGGUGGCGAAGGCGGCCCCCUGGACGAAGACUGACGCUCAGGUGCGAAAGCGUGGGGAGCAAACAGGAUUAGAUACCCUGGUAGUCCACGCCGUAAACGAUGUCGACUUGGAGGUUGUGCCCUUGAGGCGUGGCUUCCGGAGCUAACGCGUUAAGUCGACCGCCUGGGGAGUACGGCCGCAAGGUUAAAACUCAAAUGAAUUGACGGGGGCCCGCACAAGCGGUGGAGCAUGUGGUUUAAUUCGAUGCAACGCGAAGAACCUUACCUGGUCUUGACAUCCACAGAACUUUCCAGAGAUGGAUUGGUGCCUUCGGGAACUGUGAGACAGGUGCUGCAUGGCUGUCGUCAGCUCGUGUUGUGAAAUGUUGGGUUAAGUCCCGCAACGAGCGCAACCCUUACUGUCAGUUACUACGCAAGAGGACUCUGGCAGGACUGCCGUUGACAAAACGGAGGAAGGUGGGGAUGACGUCAAAUCAUCAUGCCCUUUAUGACUUGGGCUACACACGUACUACAAUGGCUAUAACAAAGAGAAGCGAGACAGUGAUGUGGAGCAAAACUCAAAAAAAUAGUCUCAGUUCGGAUUGAAGGCUGAAAUUCGCCUUCAUGAAGCUGGAAUUGCUAGUAAUGGCAGGUCAGCAUACUGCCGUGAAUACGUUCCCGGGCCUUGUACACACCGCCCGUCACACCAUGAGAGUUGGAAAUACCCGAAGCCUGUGAGCUAACCUAUGAGGCAGCAGUCGAAGGUAGAGCCAAUGAUUGGGGUG
rnacentral:rRNA from 1 species